UGCCCUCGCCAGCCAGUGCCUCCCUCCCGCGCUGCCCCAGCUCGCAGCAGCUGCUCUCCCGCCGGCGUCCGCGUCUCGCGCUCUCCACCCGGUACAGCUGCAGCCGCCUCUUCCGCCACCCAGCUCGGGCCUCCGCGCAGACAACAUGGAGGCCGUGAAAACCUUCAACAGCGAGGAUUGUGCCUCUACUCCUGCUUGUACAGACUGCUUUUCCAGCAGCAUGGACACAAGAAGCAUAUUGUAUUCCCUGAAUGACUAUAAGCCACCCAUUUCUAAAGCAAAAAUGACCCAGAUUACAAAGGCAGCCAUCAAAGCUAUUAAGUUUUAUAAACAUGUGGUACAGAGUGUUGAGAAAUUCAUUCAGAAAUGUAAACCAGAAUAUAAAGUACCUGGACUUUAUGUUAUUGACUCCAUUGUGCGACAGUCCCGACAUCAAUUUGGUCAAGAAAAGGAUGUGUUUGCACCCAGAUUUAGUAAUAACAUCAUUAGCACUUUCCAGAAUUUAUAUCGUUGCCCUGGGGAUGACAAGAGUAAAAUAGUGAGAGUAUUAAACUUGUGGCAGAAGAACAAUGUAUUCAAGAGUGAGAUUAUUCAGCCACUUUUGGAUAUGGCAGCAGGAAUCCCUCCUCCUGUUGUCACACCUGUUUUGGCCAGUACUACUACUGCUCUGAGCAAUACUCCAGGAACGCCUGUGACACCUGUUACUCCAGCCAAUGUGGUCCAAGGCCUGUCUGAUCCAUGGGUAUCUCAGAUAACAAACACAGACACACUGGCUGCUGUUGCUCAGAUCUUACAAAGUCCUCAAGGCCAGCAGCUUCAGCAGUUAAUACAGACUUUACAGAUACAACAGCAGAAGCCCCAGCCUUCCAUCCUGCAGGCCCUGGAUGCUGGUCUUGUGGUUCAGUUGCAGGCUCUCACUGCACAGCUUACAGCUGCAGCUGCAGCAGCCAACACACUUACUCCCUUAGAACAGGGAGUCUCUUUUAACAAGAAGUUGAUGGAUAGGUUUGAUUUUGGUGAAGAUUCUGAGCAUAGUGAAGAACCCAAAAAGGAAAUUCCAGCUCCUCAACUUUCUCAUGUUUCAGAAUCUGUGAACAAUUCCAUUUUUCAUCAGAUAGCAGAACAACUACAACAGCAAAACCUUGAACAUCUCAGACAGCAGCUUCUGGAACAGCAACAACCACAGAAGGCAACUCCUCAGGAUAGUCAAGAAGGAACAUUUGGGUCUGAGCAUUCGGCGUCACCAUCACAAGGGAGCAGUCAGCAACAUUUUCUUGAACCUGAGGCAACUUUGGAUGAUUCCAUAGAUAUUCAACAACAGGAUAUGGAUAUAGAUGAAGGGCAAGAUGGAGUACAAGAGGAAGUCUUUGAACAAGAAGCUAAGAAAGUAGCAGUUCGUUCAAGAUCAAGGACUCAUUCACGAUCACGUUCAAGAUCACCAAGAAAACGAAGAUCCAGGUCACGAUCUGGUUCUAGAAAGCGUAAGCACAGAAAGCGAUCACGCUCCCGCUCAAGAGAAAGAAAGAGGAAGUCAUCACGUUCAUACUCAAGUGAAAGGAGAGCCAGAGAAAGGGAGAAAGAACGGCAGAAAAAGGGGUUACCUCCAAUUAGGUCUAAAACAUUAAGUGUGUGUAGUACUACUCUCUGGGUUGGUCAAGUGGACAAGAAGGCAACACAACAAGAUUUAACUAACCUUUUUGAGGAAUUUGGACAGAUUGAAUCUAUUAAUAUGAUUCCUCCCAGGGGCUGUGCUUACGUCUGUAUGGUUCAUCGGCAAGAUGCAUUUCGGGCUCUUCAGAAACUCAGUUCUGGAUCAUACAAAAUUGGUUCCAAGGUCAUUAAGAUUGCGUGGGCUUUAAACAAGGGUGUAAAAACAGAGUACAAACAAUUUUGGGACGUGGAUCUUGGAGUAACUUACAUACCUUGGGAAAAAGUGAAAGUGGAUGACUUGGAUGGUUUUGCAGAAGGAGGCAUGAUUGAUCAGGAAACUGUAAAUACUGAAUGGGAAACUGUAAAAAGCUCAGAACCCAUUAAAGAGACAGUCCAGACUACUCAAAGUCCAACUCCAGUGGAAAAGGAAACUGUGGUCACAACCCAGACAGAGGUUUUCCCUCCACCUGUUGCCAUGUUGCAGAUUCCAGUAGCUCCAGCGGUGCCUACCGUUAGUUUAGUUCCACCAGCCUUUCCUGUGUCAAUGCCGGUUCCUCCUCCUGGCUUCAGUCCAAUCCCUCCACCUCCUUUUCUACGAGCAAGUUUCAACCCUUCACAACCACCUCCUGGUUUCAUGCCACCACCAGUUCCCCCACCGGUUGUACCACCCCCUGCAAUUCCUCCAGUAGUACCGACAUCUUUAGUGCAACCACCAUUGUCCAUGACCCCAGAAACUGUGAAAGAUGUUGGAUUUGGUAAUCUUGUUUUACCAAGUGGUUCCGUUGCCAGUGGUCUUGCUACUGCUACUCUGCCAGCUGGAAAUGUUUUUAAUCCCCCAGCUAAAGCAGAGCCUGAAGAAAAAGUACCUCAUCUUAUAGAACAUCAGAUUUCUUCUGGUGAAAAUACCAGAUCAGUGAUUACAAAUGAUAUUUCAAGUAACACUGCGAUUUUAGGACAGCCACCUAAUGUGACAAGCAAUUCUGGAAUUCUGGGAGUCCAAAGACCAAAUGUAUCAAAUAAUUCUGAAAUACUUGGGGUCCGGCCAGCUAAUGUCUCCAGCAGUACUGGGAUUAUUGGAGCCCAACCACCAAAUAUCAUAAAUAACUCUGGAAUUUUGGGACUACAACCACCAAAUGUGUCGAAUAGUUCUGGACUUCUGGGAGUACUACCCCCAAAUAUGCCUAAUGCUUCUGGACUUGUAGGAGUACAGCCACCAAAUGUUACAAAUACUUCUGGACUUUUGGGAGCACAGCCACCAGCUGGACCUCAAAACUUACCCCCUUUAAACAUCCCUAGUCAAAGGAUGCCUGCAAUGCCAAUAUUAGACAUCCGUCCAGGACUAAUACCACAGGCACCUGGACCAAGGUUCCCUUUAAUACAGCCUGGAAUUCCACCUCAGCGAGGAAUCCCUCCCCCGUCAGUACUUGACUCAGCUCUUCAUCCACCACCCCGUGGACCUUUUCCUCCAGGAGAUAUUUUCAGUCAGCCAGAAAGACCUUUUCUAGCUCCUGGAAGACAAAGUGUAGACAAUAUUACUAACCCAGAAAAAAGGAUACCACUUGGGAAUGAUAACAUCCAACAGGAGGGAGAUAGAGAUUAUCGGUUUCCUCUCAUAGAAACCAGGGAGACCAUUACUAGACCUCCCCCUGUGGAUGUUAGGGAAGUGGUUGGGCGGCCUAUAGAUCCAAGAGAAGGUCCCGGAAGGCCUCCAUUAGAUGGUAGGGAUCAUUUUGGAAGACCUCCUGUAGACAUAAGAGAAAAUCUUGUGAGGCCAGGUAUAGAUCAUCUUGGUCGAAGAGACCACUUUGGCCUUACUCCAGAGAAGCCCUGGGGGCACAGAGGAGAUUUUGAUGAGAGAGAACACCGGGUUCUACCUGUUUAUGGAGGUCCAAAAGGCUUGCAUGAAGAAAGAGGUAGAUUUCGAGCUGGAAACUAUCGAUUUGAUCCUAGAAGUGGUCCUUGGAACAGAGGAUUUGGACAAGAAGUUCACAGAGAUUUUGAUGACCGAAGAAGACCCUGGGAGAGGCAGAGGGAUAGGGAUGACAGAGAUUUGGAUUUCUGCAGAGAAAUGAAUGGAAAUCGUCUUGGACGAGAUAGAAUUCAAAACACUUGGGUCCCCCCUCCUCAUGCUCGGGUUUUUAAUUAUUUUGAAGGGGCCACUUCUCAACGAAAAAAUGAUAAUGUGCCUCAGGUUAAUGGUGAAAAUACAGAGAGACAUGCUCAGCCACCGCCUUUAACAGUACAGAAUGAUCCUGAACUUUAUGAAAAACUGACAUCUUCAAGUGAGAUAAACAAGGAGAAGAGUGACACAGUUGCUGAUAUAGAAAGUGAACCAGUGGUGGUAGAAAGCACAGAAACUGAGGGGACAUAAUCAUCACUCAGUAGACAGAGUUGCUAUGUUGCCCAGGCUGGCCUCAGACCUCUGAGCUCGAGUGAUCCUCCUGCCUCAGCCUCCCGAGUAGCUGGGAAUACAGGCGAGUGCCAUGGCUGACUUACCAUAAUAGAAUUUGUAAGCAAUGUGAACUGCUGGCUUUCCAGAAGCUAUCUUUUAGAGGGAAGGUCAGGCUUUCUUCAAUGGAGGAUCUUUCUCCAUUUCUUAAAGUGCCAUUCUGUGUGCCACUGUUGGUUCACAGGUUCUUAGUCGUCUGUGUUAAAUGACUCCAGACUAUACCUUUGUCAGGGGUGUAUUGAUGUCCAUGCCUCCCUGUCUUCCUCCUCCUGUCUCCUUUGCUUGCAGUCUUUCACAUUCCUCAGACUCCCACAGCUUCUCUCUGUCUUGACUUAGAGAAAUGCUUUGGAGCUAAUGCCCAAAAUAGUGUUCUCCUGCCCCUUGCUACACUACUUUUGUUUUAUUGUUAUUCUUUUGUUUUGUUUUGUGCAAGAGCAGCCAGAGAUUGAACCUAGGGAAAUGCAACAUUGAGCUGCAUCCCCAGCCUCGCCCUGCUUUGUGAGACAGAGUCUUGCCGCGUAGCCCAGGCCAGCCUUGAACCUGCAAUCCUCCUGCGGCAGGCUCCCAAGCCACUGGAAUUACCAGGAUUAGCCAGGGUCCCGUCUCUGGUUUUCCUUGCAGCACGCUGCUGCUGACCUGUCUCACCCCUCUCCCUGCCUUGUGGGAGCUGCAGGAUGACUGCUGUCCCCAGCUCCUAGAGCAGCCCUAGCAAAGGAUAGGCGCCCCGUGAUUACCUGAUGGAAAAGAAGGGCACUGCUCAAGGGCGUAUUUUUUAUAGUCUGGGAUCAGUAGUGUAAGAGAAACAUCCUAAAACCAUCCAAGUGGCUCGGGAAAUGAAUACCACCUACGGUGCUGGUCUGGUGGCCACAAGGUACACACCCUUUCACCCUCAGUCGGGUGCCAAACAAAAUACAGGGCACCUAACUCACUUUAAACUUCAGACGGGCAACAAAUGAUUUUUGAUUUAAGGAUAUUCCACGCAGUAUUUGAGCUACACUUUAAACAGUGUUUCUUGUAUAUUUCUACUUGCUAAAUUUGGCAAUUCUACUCCAUAGCUCCCUCAUGUAUUGAUUAGCCUUAUGUUAGGCGCUUCAUUGUUUUCUGCAGUUUUCCUAAAAGAAAGCUGUGUCAGCCUUUCCCCUGGGACACAGACUGCAGUUAGAGCUGGACUUCAUUCAAAAUCUAAAGUGUCUGUCACGAUGAUGUUCGUGUAUGUAGCAACUUAAUUCUUUUUUUUUUCUCCACUAGAGAAAAUGUAUUUAAUAUAAAUAGAAAUGACUGUUAGAGGGAUAACUUUGAGCCUUUUUUUGAUUUAUUAUUUAAAACAAAGCAUUUGCAAAUACAGAUUUUAUUAUUGUGACCAAACUUAACAAAUGAUUUGAGACCUCUCAGCCGAUUGGUAUGUCGUUAGUUACCAAUGACUUGCUAUGAGGGAAGUUCACUUUGAGGUUGGAAAUAAGUGGUUUAGAAUUUCAUGCUAGAAAAUGAGGAUUGUCCUUUUUUUUUUUUUUUUUUACUUAAGAGAUGUGAUUUUUCUUUUUUUUUUUUUUUUUGUCUUUUUCCUUUUUUAUCAGUACCGGGGAUCAAACUCACGACUGCCUGCUUGCAAGGCAGGCACUUAGCUAAAUCUCCAGCCCCCAAGAUGUGAUUUUUCUAUGCAAGAGGAAAAAAAUCUAUUGAAAAACUAAUAAUUUAAUCUGAUAAUACUAAUAAUAGUAUCUAUUGAGAUAGUUUUUAAAUUAUUAGUUUGCAAUGUAUUUGAAAAUGCAUUUUUCUAAUGGUUAAAUUCUAACAUACUGCCACAGCUAACGUGCACCUUGAAUUUUCUCUUUCAUGAAUAAUAAACAAGUAGAGUAGUAUUUGAGUCCUUUGGUUCCACUUAAGUGCCUUUGUCAACACUUGACAUCCCUGAAGAAUGGGUUUGCACAUGUUAAUUGUCAUGCAAACAAAAGAGUGGCAGGUGAGUGCCACCUUGUGUGCUGCGCAGGUCUCAAAGUUGGGGUGGAGGUGUGGAUGGAGAGAGGGUGGAGAAAUUAAGAUAAGAGCCAAUAUACUGAAAGCAGAGGUCAGGUGGAGCUCUCUCUCCUGAUGGUAGCAAAGGCACUGCUUAAUGGAGCAGUGCGUUUAUUCAUACAUUUGUCACAUGACACUCCUUUGCUUAACUAACUGACCUCUCAGGCCCCUUGUUCUGGGGGCUGCGACAGCUGUUUGUCUGGGGCACUCUGUGCCCGCAGGGCACUCCUCGGGCCCUGUGCUCUCAGUUCCACAAGUGUGAAGGAUCACUAGCUUGGUCCUCCCAACCGGCCAUUGCCCAUCUUCCCCUCCUGAGAGCCUUCUCCUUGUACUCCAGCAGUGGGCCAUCUCUUCCAUAAUGGAUUACUUCAGGCACCGGCCCCUUGUCUCCCUGGAGAGUGUCUGUGUACACCCAUCUACUAUGCAGACCACGGUCUCCAGAGCAACCCUAAUAAGCUUCCCGACUGGUAUCCAAAGAAUGAAUUAAAGAAAGGAGCAGAGGGGAUCUAGCCUAUUGCAGUGGGCUGGGGGAAGAAAAGCAAGCUUUUUGACAGAAUUUUUGGAAACUAGGCCUAUUCAAGGUGACCUUGCUGAGCGAGCUCUGAGGGCAGCUGAACCCCUUAAUGGGUCAUGGGUGCAAACCAGCCCUUCCUGAGUUCAUUCUGCACUCUGGUGUAAGUUUUUUGCCCUAAACCUGCAACAUGAGGCAGGGACAUCUAUCCAUGCUGAAACAGAGCCCGUGGUUGGGCAAUGAACACAUCUGUGUUGAAAUACUACAAAAGAGACUUUGGGUUCUAACACUGGCCUCACCAGCUGCCCGCAGUGCGUGCCAAGGAGGUAACUUAGGCUCUGCGAGCUGUGUCCUCAUUUGUGGGAUGAGGUUAAUGAUGGCGACUGCACCUGCCUGCAGUCUGGCACCUGGCACAGGGGAAGUGGGGUAGGUUAGCAAUCAGAUUUCAGUUCUGUAGCCUAGGAUUGCUGAGGCCUAGCUAAGUUCUGUGAUUGUAGGAAAAGGAUAAUGUUUACAGCUAUAAGGACUUAGCACAGAGGAUCCAGAAACUUUAGAUGUGUUCAACAGCAGGUGAUUAGAAGAAUAACAUUUUCUUUUGGAGAUAUAAAAAAGAACAGAAUUGCAUGCUACUUUUGUAAAUUGGCUGUUUCCAAAUGGACAUAAAUGUUGUGUAAAACUUCCUUAUAAAUUGUUGCAGUCAGGGCUGAGCUCCCAUUGUCCUGGGACCUGUUGGAAUUUUGUUUUCUUCUUUCUCCUGUCUCCCUGCCAAGCCUGUUAGGCCAAGUCUACCUAGUCCUGUUCUGACUCGAAAAUUUGCAAUCCCAAUCCACCCUGCCCCAUGACACUCCAUUGUGGGUGGUACUAGGAAAAAGAUCAACCUCACUAGUAUUCUUUCCGCUCAGAGCCUUUCAUAGCCUGUUUCUCAGUGUAUAUUUGAUUGGCCAAAGACAGAGCAAGUGACAUUAAGGGAAAAAGACUUUACAGCCAACUUGUGUCCUGACAUUUUUAAAGCUGUUUUUAAAACUUUUAAAGAGGUUUUAAAGUUACCACUGAAUGGAAAAGCUUGUUUCAUCUUGGAUUAUUGUCUGUAAAAUGAAUCGAGCUUUUGCACAACACAUAUUGUAAUUUCAGGGGGGAGAUUCAUUCCCAGUGCAACCUUUCAAUUUCCCAGAAUGUGGUGCUCAGGAUUGACAAGGAUCCAGCUGCAAAAACCCAUCAGGAAAUGUUGAAAGAUGUGAGGUUUCAAAUGAGAAGAGGCCCUGUGUUCAAGGCACAGGGGUGAUCCUAGGGAACCUCUGGGAUUUUCGUGUGAAUCCAGGGCGAGGUUUCAUUUGGGUAGCACCUGGUUUGAACUGAUUUAUUGAUUGUGCUGAGAAUCAUUUUAGUUGUAAUACUUUAGUUGAUAGUGCUAAGAAUGUUGUAUAUGUGACAUCAGUGACUUUCAAGCUGUAUGCCAGAGACCACAAAGCAGAAGAAUCUGGGGAUGGGGUGGCCAAGCCCAGCUUCUACCCAAGCUGUUUUUUGCUCAUGUCUUACAUGUUCAACUCUCACAGCGUAAAAAGUAGGAAAUGUAAUUUCAAAUAAAUGCUUGAGUACCUCGGCAUUCCUGGCUCUAACAUUUAUGGUUGCAGCUGUUCCAAGCCAACUCACAGUAUGCAAUAAUCCUUAAUUGUGCUAAGGCACAAAUGUGAAUAGCAUCGCCUGCAGUGCAGGUGAGUGGCAGUGUGUAUCUGGCUAGUGAAUCAGUCUUGCUGAUUGUUGUCACCCAUGUAUCCACUUGGCCUUGCAUUAGUUAUUAGUUUUCUUCCCUCUUCAUUAUGGAAGUAGGUUAGAUUGUCAUUGUACAGGGGGAAAAUUGUGUACUGUAAUAGGAUUUGCACUUUGAAGCUUGCUGAUAUCUGAGAUGUGUCCUUCCCAGAUGUCUAAGGUCUUCUGGACAGUUGGAUGGAAUUCCAGUUGCCAUGCCUGAGGAAGUUGUGAAAUGUGUUCUGGAAAGUUCCAUGCUCCAUCACCACUGAGCAUGGGAGGGAAUUUUGUGUGGGGUGCAGAUGCAGCACACAUCAGCUCUCAAACACUGUCAAGAAGAGAUUUUUCUUAUCCCAAUUCCAGCUGAGUCUUCUGAGUAAUAUGGUUUGGUGAAACCACCCAUUAAAAACACAAAAAUUACAUCCCAUUGUAUUCUGUGCUUUGGGACCCGCCUGAGACAAAUGUUCCUGAGACUGUGCUGCGUUUGUAGAGAAAGAGGUUCUGUUAGUGGCUCAUUAAUCUGGAUCAUGUUUGGCGUGUUCUGUGAGCUUGUUAAAAUAAGACUUUUGUGCCUUCCUAAAAACUAUUAAAAAGAACUGAGUCAUGCAGUUUGCCAGCAUCACAGUUAAGAGUGAUUAAGUCCCCUUUUCCAUGGCUGCUGGGGAUGGUCCAGAUGGCAGGUGCCUAGGACAGUCCUCCCUACCCUGAGGUUUUAAGUGUGGCUGUGACCCUAAUUGUUAUAUUUAUUAACUGCGUUGUGCUCACUUGAUACAUGUGGAGCCCUGGUUCAUGUCAGUUACUUUAUGAAUGCAUGAGGAAAAGAUUGUGUUAAAUGAAAGCAAAUGCACAGAACUCAGAAAACCUAGCUAGCCAGGGGUGGAAGUGUUUAUUAGUCGUGUCUCUCUAAACACAUGUGCAAUAAAUAGGUCCUUCUUCUCCUCUAUCUCCUCCUCCUGUUUUCACUCACUCACUUUCUUGGCAGUUCUUCUGAAGAGCCAAUUCCUACUUACUCUGGAUACGGAGAAAUAAUGGCCAGUCUAGGUUCCUCAAGUACCUUUUCUGUCUGCCUGUCACCCAGCGAUUGGGUGUCACCUUUCCCUUGGGCUGUGUUUCCUGGGCUCCAUACAAAGUGAGUGGCUUGUCAUCUCCUUGACUAAGUUAUAUCAGUUCUCUGCCACUAAUGCAGUUUGCAAAUUAGUUUCUCUAGCUAUUUUUUUAAAAACUGGCAUCUGCUCAAACAAGCAACCAUAUAGUUUCUCCAGUUCAGCUGUGAAGACAGCCGAGGACACCAGAUUGAGUUUGCUUUCUGCAAGCUGGAUAUAGGAAUAUCAAAAAAAAAUUUUAAUGGAUGAUUGUUCACUUUUCAAAAGGUUUCUUUGCCUCACCCAAAGAGAGUAAUAGGAUUUCUUUAAACACUGAUUCCUUCUAGUGUCCUAAAUAUAAAAUUUAAUCAAUAUCCUAUUUCUAGAGCAUUCUUCAUGCAUAAAUGUGACGUGACUGUUAGAUAUAUUAUAAUUUACUUAAAGUUAACUUUUAAAAUUACUAACUCUUUUUAGUCUGAGAGGUUCAGUUCUACUAAAUCGAACUGAUUUCACUCUGGCCUGAAGUGAGGAAACGAGUACAUAAUAAUCCUCCAUGAUGGUUUGCAUACAACAAAUUUUAAAAUGAGGACACUAGGUCAUGUGACCUGCAAGGCAUUAAUCUAACAGCGUCUGUUCUCAGAAACCUAAAGGGAAGGCUUUGAACUUUUCAGCCAAAAGGAGAGCUCUGUAAAGCCGUCUCCAGGAUAAGCUUCAUUAGUACAAGCUCAGACAAGAGACCUAUAAGUAGUCCAGAUAAUUCCUCUGCCAGUGGAAUGCAUGUCCUAGAGCUGCUUUACACAAAGGGUCUAACAUAAAUCACAGGUAGACUUUUAUCUUCCAGAAAGGCUAUUUAGUGUUAUUCCAAUUUCAUUCGUUCUGUUCUUCAUCACUGGGUGUCCAUUAAGCCCAAUGCCAAGAAUCAGGAUUUUACAAAAAUGAUUUUGGGCUUGACUUUGCUUUCAUGGAAUUUGUAGUCCAAUUUUUUCAUCCUAUAGACUAGGUGAUGGCUGUAAAGUUGUUGAAAGGUGCCUUAGAUAACCUGUUUUUGCCUCCUUUUCUGACUGCUUCUGUCUUUUGCACCACCCCAAGGUUCAGGUAUCAAAGUACAGAAUUGCCAGGUCAUAUGUAGCCCAAAUGCAUCACACACUGGGCCAUGGCUGAUGGCUGUCUGUGCGUGGUUCGCAGAUGUUCUUUUGAAAUUUUUCUUUGUACUCCGUAAGGACAUGAGAACAUUGGCUGUGUGCUGUUGUUGUUUGUUUGUUUGUGUAAUGCCAGGGUGCUGACCCCUCGUGCCUGUGAUGAUUCCUCUGAGUAGAAAUGGUCCAGAGAAAGAGGGAGAAUGUUGGGAGGUACAGUAGGGGAAGGGGAGCUUUGGCCUUGGGACAGGAGGACAAGUUCAGAGGGAGUACUGUGAGUCUCUAGCAGCCAGGGGUUUAGAGUGUGUGGUCAGUACCAUCACUGAUGCCCUGGUCUUUGAGGAAAGGAUUGUAGGAUAUUCUUCACAUUUCUGCCAGUCACAGGAGACCUCCUGGCAAACAAAGCAUUUGGGAAGUCGUUACAGGGGAGGUGGCCACUAAGCAGACAGGUUUUCCUGGCUAACAGAUCACUCUCGGGGCACAGAAGAGAGAGAGACAUGCAUCUCCGUCAGAAGGAAUAGAAAGCCCAAUUUUAGAUCAGCAAGGAUUCUGCUGCCGUUUCUGUCCCCAGGGCUGCCUGCACACAGCUGGCAGGAGGAAGAGUGGCCCCUUUCUUCCUCCUCUGUGACACUUUUCACACACACACUCACUCAGCCGCACAGUCAGCUUCAGUGGUGAGUGUUAAUCUCCAUCUUGCAGAUGAGGAAACACUGAGUGGCCAACAGUCCCCCCCGAGGAUGGUACACCUACCUGGGAAAGAGCACAGCUGGAAAUGCAGACCCGGAGUGCAUGAGGCCAAGUGUGUGCUUUCGGCCAGCACUGUGACCUGCCUGUCCAUGGAGGAGCUGGCUGGAGGGAUUCUGCCAGGCUGUGAACCUUGCACCAGGGACGCUGUGCCUCCUUUGUACCAGCUCCCGAGAUUGGAUUCCAGCAUUGUAGAAAUAGCAAGAUGCAUUAUGGUCCAAAAGUCUAAAUUACAAUUAGGUCAUUCAUGCAAAGUGGCAUAAUUUUUCAAGACAGAAUAUCUGACAUAUUUGAAUUAAAAGAAUUAGGACUACAGAACAAAACAAACAUAUAGAUUCUCAAUCUUCAUGUGUCCGUGGGCAAGUGUGGAGCUUCAGAGUUAUAGUUUUGUAGUGAGAAUUUUGUGCUUUACAAUUCCUAAAGUCUGUUUUAAUGCUAAUAUGAUCCCUUUUGCUAUUAUCCUGGAAUUAAGUAGCUUCUUGGGGAUCCUCAAAGAUUGUAAGCAUGAUAUGCAUGUGAAUAUGAGAGAAACACUGUUUAUCCCCCAUCAUAGGACUAAGUUUCCCUACUGGGCAAUGACUGCCUUUAUUUUAUUUUAAUUAUUCUUAUAUUUGGUACUUGGAACGACAUGAUUUCAUAUUGUUCUAAUCUAAUGGGAUGUGGCUCCAUACAUUUUGAGUAGGUUUUAAACCAGGGAACAAUAAAACAUUCAGCAAAUUAUGUUGGAAGGCAUCUGCACACAUUCUAUUCACAGCCCUGAGCCAGCCAUCCUGCUCCCAUAUGGGUGACCAAACGCAUCGACUGGAUGAAGCAGGCUGAGAUCUGGCAUCCGUAAGCCACUCUGGCUGGCACUGCCGCUUCCACAUGGCAGGACAGGCUGGUGGAGGCUGGGUCUGAUGUCUCGGAGAAGAGUGCGUGCGUGCCAAGUACUGUGCUGCCACCACAUUCUUCAGCCCACUGGUUAUGAAUCCAGGAUCAUCAGUGUGCUGCAGCUCAACCUCAGUGUAGUUUUUCUGUCCCCUGGCUUCUUACUGACAUGCCUUCACCUUUCCUGGCUAGCAGAGGAAGAGGAAGAUGCCCGGUUUCCAGUGGACAGCUUUGUGGGUUGCUGGCAGUUCUGAUAAGAGUGGUUCUGGGGGCUGGGGGUGGAGAAGAGGAACUAAAAAGGGAUCAGAGGCUUUCUGUGGACUUUGUCUCCCAGUAUUGUUAUCCUUGCUUUGCCUUUGUGAGCUGUACUCCAGAAAGGACUCAUUUGGAAAUCCAUUAAGGAGGGAAGAUGUGACCAGACCACAGAGGUCAGCUGGUUUCUGUUUCUCCAUGCAGUUUGCUCCUGUGGGGUUGUGUUCCUGAGGAAGUGUUUUCUCUUUUUGUCUGGUGCUUCCUCCAGUCCUCUGCUGUGACUGUCAUUGACUUGGAAACCUGGCCACUGUGUCUACAGUCAGUUCCUGCAGAAGAGAGGCCGUGCCUGAUGUGAAAGCAGCUAUGGCUUCCUGUAGCCCUGGGCACGGCUGGGUCCUCACCGUGGGCCACACAAGGGGUGGCUUCUUUCAUGUCUAGAUGCCAAGGCAUUGGAAAGAAGUAGCUUGGAGAGGAAAGGCAUGUAAUUUGGGGGUCAGGCAUACUUUGUUUGAUAUCUGGUCCCUGCCAUGUGCUCAGGUACUUAGGCUUUGUGAACCUCAGUUUUAUUAUUUGCAACAUGGGGCUAGUGAAGAGAGCUGCUCAAGAAGAAGUUAAAGAUCAUAUAAGUCUCCUAGACUGCGUGAGCUAGGGUGCUUCCAUUUCUACGGGCCUUCAUUGUGUCCAGUUUAUGUUGGAGGAAGUAGAACUGCAUUUCUAAGUGGAGGACAGUUGCAACAGACACGUUAUGGGCAGCAGCUGAGCUGCAGAAAACUGGUUGUAAAAUGCUCAUGGUUUCUGCCAGGAGCGGCUUUCACCUAUGAGCACUGCUGCUCUCAGACUGAUUGAUUGAUGGGUUGAUUUUUGCAUUCUGGAGAUUAAACUCAGGGCCUUGAGCAACUCAACAUAUAUUCUCUCUGAUGUGCAUCUCUGGAGAUACAUAUAUAUAUAUUUUUUUAAACAGAGUCUCACCAAGUUGUUCAGGCUGGACUCAGAUUUGUGAUCUUUCUUCCUCAGCCUCUUGAGGAGCUGGUAUUACUGGCAUGCAUCAUCAUGCCCAGCAUGAGAUUUGUUUAAGGAAAGAAGUCUUAUUCAUUACACCAUAUUCCCGUUGAAACGUAAGGCUUCCGACCUACCAUUCUUUAUCCUGGCAAAGUACAUCCAGUACUCUGAGGAUCUUGCAACACACUGGUAACUGCUAAAGAAGAGUGACCUGACCUAGGGGAAACAUAUUCCUUCACAAAAGCUCUUGCUGCUUACAGAGUUUGUAAGAAAUCACCUGUCACACCCCCGCCGUGGCUCUCUGGGGUCUGGGGAACAGCUGGGUGUCACUGUGUGGUGAGGCUGUAGAUGUACUCAUGCUGAAUUUUUCAUACCUAAAGUUUUCACUCAGUAGCCUUCGUAGUGUCUGGCACCAAGAUGGUGCUCACAGUGGGAGAAUCAGGCAGGGUAAAAUUACAGCCCACACAGCCUGGGACUUGAGCACUUGGACACUGUGGGUUGUAGGCAGUGGUGCUUCUCGGAACCCUUUGUAGAGUUUGUUUUAUGGUUUUUUUGUUUUUUGGUUUUUUUUUUCUGUGUUGGAGACACUCCAAACUAUUUUUCAGGGUAUUCUUUAUAAAUCAUUUAACAUAUUAGGGCUACUAGCAGUGGCAGAACUACACGGAUGACUUGAAUAUUAUGAUGAAAGAUUAAUGUGUCCUUAUUCAGUGUUAGGAGCAAGGGUUGGUGUGCAGAGGAUAGAGUGGCCAGAGCACAAAUCCUGGUUGUGUCCCAACCACUGGACUGACUUUUAAUAUGGGGCCGGUCCUGGGAGCCCUUGCAUCUCACCUUCGUGGAGGGAAACUGAUCCUCUGUUUAGGAGACCAGAGAGCCCAUGACUGUGAAGGGGCUUCAAAAACCAAAGCGCACUCUAGGAGCUGUUCAUUCUCUUGUUGUCCCUGUUCCUUGCUCAGUGUGGCAGUGUUGACAGCCACCUCUUCAGUGAUGGAUUGUGUCAAUGCACCUGUUGCAACACCAUCAAGCACUUAGGAGAAAUAGCGAAUCCUCCCAGUUAACCUUGAUCACAAAAAUACUUACCAGCAUCCCACAACAAACUUUAUGUGCCAUUUAAAUUCAUUUGUCAAUACGAAAAUAUUUAUUUCUCUUACCUGGCAACAAAGAAACACAAAUUUAGUCUGUGUCAGCACCGUGUGCAUUUACAGACCCUUCUUCUAUGUCCCUACCCCCGAUUUGAGUUAAUCUUCCUUUUUCCUUUUUUGCCCUUUGUGUUCUCAUUGGACAACAGCCCUCUCCUGUUACAGCUGGGCAAAUCUUAUCCAGAUUUAGGACAGGGGCUCUGGAGCUUCAUUGUUGCAGCAAUUGAGUCAAAUGACCGAGCUUUCCAUCAGUCACUUUCAAGGCAAGAUGAUGAAUGAAGUUCUGGCAGCUUCCUGUGUCCCAGGCCUUGUAGAAAUAACUGAGACAGACGCGCUUCAAAGCUCUAAUGUGCAUCACAUCGGAUCUUGGUUAAGGAAGCGUUAAAAGGAACCCGCCAUUACCUAUUGAGAAGGCUCUGUGCUCUCAGGCAUUUGUUUCUGAUUGAAUCCAGAGGUUGCAAGCAUGCUUCCCUGUAUUACCUGUUGGAGCAGGUUUAAUUUUAUAAAUUUUAAACACAAACUCUAUGAGUUUCUAGUUCAUAAUUGUUCUUUUUGAGGAUCCACUCAGAUGAACAGUAUUGCAUCUGUAAGAGAUACAUACACACCUCCACAAGCCCAGAAUUGAUUGGAAAAUCAGUGGCAACAAGCUCCCAUCUGUAGCAUCAUCCAGUACCAGUAAUGGAAAGGACAGAGUGCUUGGAAUCCUUUGGGGAGAAGUCAUGUUGUGUUGAAACUACAAAUGACUGGAACCAUAGCUUUAGUAUACCAUGGCUUUUAAAACAAACACAACUGCAUACACUGGGUAGUUUUUGACCAGUGGCUUUAAUUCGUUAUUGCUAUCUCCCUGGAUAUCGUCAAACACUGAAAGUCUUCAAAUUGCAUUAAAAAAUGUUUUUAAAUGCAGCUUUGACAAAAUUCAGUGUUCAGUAUAGUAUUCCAAGUAUUCCACGCCAGACUUCCUGUCCUGUAAUUGCAAACAGCAGGUACCCAGGUGGUAGACUAGACCUUGUGGCAGAGUAAGGAAUGACAGUGAACAGGCACACUACAUUGUAUCCUAAACAUACUUUAUAAGUACGUUUCUUAUUUGCUUCUUAUUCAGGCAGAGAUUAUAAAAGUUUGUUACAAGUAUCCAAAUCAGGAUUUGUGUUUUGUAAAUGAUCAAUGUUCACAAUACCCACAAGGGGAAAAAAAUGGAAAAAUUCAAAUAUUCAUACCCUUUACACUUAAAAGAAUAUUUUUUAUCAUUCUUUUGUUUUGGCUCUGUCAAAAAUUAAAGUGCUUGGAAUGCUGUAGUCUGUGGUCUCUUGAAGUUUAAUCAAUGAGAACCUAACACCUUCACAGUAUGCUGUCACUUUGGACGUUCAUAAUAAAAAUUGAAACUGA